CUAAAAAUAAAUAAAUAGAUAAAUUUAAAAAAUAAGAUUCAAAAUAGUACCUAUCUCUAUUUGUAUUAUAAUAGUACCUAUCUCUAUUAGUACUAAAUUAUAAGAAUUAAAUUAGUAGACCACAUAGAGGGCUCAGAAGUAUUUUAGGCACAUAGUAAGUCCUCAAAAAUAUCGGCUAUUAUAUUAUUAUUCUUUGCUAUUAUUACUAUUAUUGAGAGCAUUUUUCCUGGAUCUUGGAGUGAUUUCUGCUCCCAUCUCUAAGACUGACCCUCUUCAAUGGCAGGGCUUGCAGCCACCUCUGAACACUGACCAUUCCCUGUCUUUCUCUGCAGUGACUGGAAACAGCAUUGAAAUGGCAGCCCCAGGGCCAGAGGUCAGCUUCCCCUUCUCCUGUGGAAAGGUGGGGCUGGUAUCACUCACUUAAUUUGGAGAAUUUCCAUAGCAUUUUCCCCACAUUUUGCUUGGGUUAGCUUAUUUACACCAACCAUGCAUCUUAUCACUGUCAUAAAUUUUUAUUCCCAUGGACAUGUCUAAACUUAUGGGUUGAAAUAACAUAAUUUACAUGCUGUUUAGUAUGCAGAUUGGGCUAAUCCACUUCUAUAAAUUCACCACCAGGCCUGUGCAGCCGCCCUCUCUCUGUAGGACCUCAACCUCAUUUGAAUAUCACACUCUAUUGUGUGGUUGGUGGUGUGAAAUGCUUGGGUCAAGAGCCGCCCCCUAGACAGCUGAGCACUGACCCGACAGACUGCCUGUGCCUGCAGUCCGUGGGUGCGGCACAGCCCUUCCCCCAGCAGAGGCCUCCUUCCCUGUGGGUCGCUCCCACAGGUCCUCCGGCUGAAAGCUGAGAAGUCACUAGGAACCAGGAAAAGACAGCAAACAAACAAAUAUUUAAUACAUCAGGCAGUCGAGAGUACAAUAGAGAAACUGCAAGCGGAGGAGGAAGAUGAAGAUACAGUCCUGUAUACAGAGCCCCAGAAGACUUGAGGUCAAGACCAGCGCUGCCACUAACUCACAUCAUCUCUCUACACUUGUUUUCGUCACUGUGAAAUGAGAGGGUUAGACCAGAUGUUGUCUAAACCUCCUCCAGCAUGGAUUCCAGAAGCCAUUCUUGAUAGCAGCAAAACCAUCUGCACACAUUCUAUGGGGCUUGAUGGGCUGCUCUGGAGAGGAGAGGAGUCUCCCAGGAAAGUAUGAGUGCGACUGGGGAAGGAGACUGGAGAAGAGAUAUAGACCCUUAAAGAGAGAUCCCUGACAAGCCAAAUAAAAAGUUUUGUUUUUGUCUUGUUUUGUUGCAAAGUGAGAGCCCAAUUUGGAGCAAUUAAAUUGACAACCAACCCAACCCAAUUCUCACC